rnacentral:lncRNA from 1 species
AUGAAGUAAAUCUCCUGUCAAAGGAUUGGAGAGAAGGAACCAACCGUCUUUCACUCACCCACUUAGAACCUUCUGGAAGCCCUGACUGCCUUGCUGUAAGGUCGGCUGAAUGGAAAGAGACAAAGGCUGUUGGCCCUGAUAACAGAGGACAUGGAGAACACUGACGGGCCAGCACAGAGAGGUGUCAAACCUACAUUGCAGCCUGAAGGAUGUCUUCACUUCCUCCUGCUCCUUCGCCUUGUAUCCUUCAUAGAUUUUUCCCGCAAUAAAAC